CGCUAGCGACAGGCUUAGCACAUGCAAGUCGAGGGGCAGCACGAUGUAGCAAUACAUUGGUGGCGACCGGCGCACGGGUGAGUAACGCGUAUGCAACCUACCUAUCAGAGGGGAAUAACCCGGCGAAAGUCGGACUAAUACCGCAUAAAACAGGGGCUCCACAUGGAAAUAUUUGUUAAAGAAUUAUCGCUGAUAGAUGGGCAUGCGUUCCAUUAGAUAGUUGGUGAGGUAACGGCUCACCAAGUCCACGAUGGAUAGGGGUUCUGAGAGGAAGGUCCCCCACACUGGUACUGAGACACGGACCAGACUCCUACGGGAGGCAGCAGUGAGGAAUAUUGGUCAAUGGGCGAGAGCCUGAACCAGCCAAGUCGCGUGAAGGAUGAAGGAUCUAUGGUUUGUAAACUUCUUUUAUAUGGGAAUAAAGUGAGGAACGUGUUCCUUUUUGUAUGUACCAUAUGAAUAAGCAUCGGCUAACUCCGUGCCAGCAGCCGCGGUAAUACGGAGGAUGCGAGCGUUAUCCGGAUUUAUUGGGUUUAAAGGGUGCGUAGGUGGUUAAUUAAGUCAGCGGUGAAAGUUUGUGGCUCAACCAUAAAAUUGCCGUUGAAACUGGUUGACUUGAGUAUAUUUGAGGUAGGCGGAAUGCGUGGUGUAGCGGUGAAAUGCAUAGAUAUCACGCAGAACUCCGAUUGCGAAGGCAGCUUACUAAACUAUAACUGACACUGAAGCACGAAA
rnacentral:rRNA from 1 species